rnacentral:rRNA from 1 species
CCUACGGGUGGCUGCAGUGGGGAAUAUUGCACAAUGGGGGAAACCCUGAUGCAGCGACGCCGCGUGAGCGAUGAAGUAUUUCGGUAUGUAAAGCUCUAUCAGCAGGGAAGAAGAUGACGGUACCUGACUAAGAAGCCCCGGCUAACUACGUGCCAGCAGCCGCGGUAAUACGUAGGGGGCAAGCGUUAUCCGGAUUUACUGGGUGUAAAGGGAGCGUAGACGGCGGUGCAAGCCAGAUGUGAAAGCCCGGGGCUCAACCCCGGGACUGCAUUUGGAACUGUAUGGCUGGAGUGUCGGAGAGGCAGGCGGAAUUCCUAGUGUAGCGGUGAAAUGCGUAGAUAUAAGGAAGAACACCAGUGGCGAAGGCGGAUGACUGGACGGCAACUGACGGUGAGGCGCGAAAGCGUGGGGAGCAAACAGGAUUAGAUACCCGGGUAGUC